GAGGGAGCCAAAGCUGCCCCAAAAUGCACAGGGAGGGGGGUGUGUAGAAUACUACAUCCUGUCAAGUGCUUCGUUUUUAUAGGUAUUGGUAAAAAUAGGAAUUUGUCUCUAAAUUCAUUUGGAAAGAAAGCCAGAGCAGCCCCAGGUGUGAACUGUGAGGAUAAGGAGGGGCCGGCUCCUGCCGGCGGCUGUUUUAGGGGCUUUGCCUCAGCUGAUUUUACAGGGAGCUGCUGGAGAAGAGGAGUUUAUGGGCGGCUCCUGGGGCUGUCCUUGGAAGGACGGUGACAGCUUCGGACAGGGUCUGGGGGAUCACCUGGAUACGCACUUGGAUACCUGGAGCAUUGCUCAGAGGAGGUGCCGAGGGACAAACCUUUGUGCCAGGUAGCGGCAGCCAAACAGGGGCUGAAACUGAAGGGGAGAACACAUUUAUUUGCCCUUGUUGAAGUGAGGCGAGCACCUGAGUGUGGCGGAAAUGCAGGAGAACGCGAAAGCAUCGGGGCAGAGCAGCCGCUGGAGGUGCCCGAGCCGUCUCCCCCUUGCCCGCAGGGCCGGAGUUGCCCACCGCCGGCAGCUGACAGGUCCGUGCUGGAGAGUGGGAGAGGGUCCCUGCUGGCUGCCGUGUCCUGGGUGGGCACAGAGCUCUGACCUCGGCCAGAUGGGCUGGUUUCCGGGUGUUUUGAUCCUGACGUCGCCAAAGCCUCAGGUUUGCUGAAUUGGGGCUCCUACCUGUGUGACCCGUGAAAUGUCCCGGAAGCUGAUCGAUGUCUUCCUGCUCCCGCUGUGUUCAUUUGGGCUGUGCUUCAGGCUUCUCUCCCUGGGCCCUUGCCGUUGCCGUAUCUCUUGGAUGCCGUGCAGAAGGGAAUCAGGCAGCCAAGCCUCAUGUUCACUUUCUCCCUCACCCUCUGCGCUGCUCGUGUGGCACAGCAGAUCCUGAAGCCAGAGGAGCACGUGUACAUAAGGGUAAAGAGAUUCCUUCUGUCACACCGGUAUUUGGACCUGAGGAAGGUACCAGGUUUUCUCCAGCUUUUCUACAGUUUUGAUUUUGAGCGCACAAGGAGUUGUGCUGCGUAUGCUCUGUGAGCACAAGAAAAGAAUGUUCUGCCCCGGCUAGCUACAAUUCCUCUUUGAGUUUAGGUGAGUAACUUGGAGUUCAACUGAAGUAUUUUAGAAACAGCAACUUCUAAAAUUCCAUUUCCACUGCAUGUUUGGGCUGCAGACUGACUGUUCCCAAUGGAUGUUAGCGAUUAAAUUUGAUAGGAAUGGAAAAUUGAGAAGUCCAGAAGAAGCUAUGAAAACAGAGCGUGAGUGGAUCCUCAGAUUUCUUGGGGAAGGGCUGCGUGACAAACAUUGCUGUGAGCUCUAUGUCUACCAGAGGAUUUUCCGGGUCAUUCUUGCCUUUCUCAGCAGUCCUUUGUGUGACCAGGGCUCCCAGAGUCCUAUUCUGGAGAUACGACAGAGUGCUGCCCGUGUCACCUCUAGAGCUGCCCAUGAGCCGAUAGAGGAUCACAGCCUCCUCUCGUGGGUCCUGCACGGCUUAGAGAAAAGGUAACCAGCCAAGUACGGGAGACAUGGGGACAAUUUCCUGUCCACGGCUGAAGAAUGACGUGGCUGAGGAUGAAAGCAAGGGGGACAGACCUGGAGACGGGGGCACCGAGGGCUGCACUGGCAGAACUUGCUGAACGCUGAGGUGUCCCUUGUGUUUUUGAGAAGAGAAUCAAGAGGCUUUCAGGUGGUGGUGGGAGGGACGAUGGUGGGGGGGCUGUGUGAUUUGGGAAUCACUUCCUUGACAAAGCAAAAGGACACCUUGUGCUGGUGUCUUUAGCUUUGAAAUUUCAAGCAGCCUCAGUUCCCAUCCUGUCACAGGACCUGCUGCACAGGAAGUGGCACAGCAAUGGAUUUGAGCUGUCUAGAACGUUACUUCUCCUCCCCUUGCCUCUCCCUGACAAAAAAAAUCUCUUCUGCAAGCACAGAGUGCCCUGACAGGUUCAGGCAAGUGCACCAAAAGUGCCCUAGAAUAUGGUCCCCCGUAGGAGAUGGACCAGCUGCUGGUGAGGAUCUGCCUUUCAAAUGUGGUUUUCUUUUCUUUUUUUUCUUUUUGUUCUGUUUCAUUUUGUUUUUCAGGUUUCUGGAGAACCAGGUGAUAAAUAAAAUGAUUUCCUUCCUCCAUCCUUUGUGGCUAAUAAAUUUAGGAGACAAGAGAGAAAACAGGAAUCGAUCCCAGAUGCUGCUGUUGAGAUGGAUAUAUGAUCUAUCUAUCUGUAUAUAGAUAUAUGUAUAUACGUAUAUCUGUGUAGUGAUAAUAAUGGGAGUUUUUAUGAUACGUUGCUUUACUGUUUUAUAUUUUUAAUAAAGUGUGAUUUUAAGUUAUUAGUUAUGA